rnacentral:lncRNA from 1 species
AUUUGCAAUCCCCCAGAGUUAUUGUCCUAAUUACGUAAAGAAUGUUAUAUAAAGAACUAGAUAGAUAAAAACUCGGAUACAAUUAAUUCAUGAGAGCAUGUUUUUCUUGUUCGAACUAUCUCAUAGUUUUAAAGCUAUAUCAUGUUUUUGAGUUGAAAAGACAUGUGACUUAAAUUCUAAGAGAAAGUGUUUUGUUAUAUAUGUAAAGAAAUCAGAAUAGGGUUUUUAUAUACCUCUUUAAUUGCUACUAAGUAUUUAAAAGAGAAAAAGACCAAAAUAGCACUAAAUCAAGUUUUUGCUCCCAAAUUAGCAUUCAAGAUCAAAAGUCACAAAAAUAACAUUCAAAAGGUGGGGUUUAGGGUUUAGAGUUUAGGGUUUAGGGUUUAGAGUUUAGGUUUUAGGGUUUAGAGUUGAGAAGUGAAGUUUUGGGGAUAAGAUUUCAAAUUUUGAAAAAUAAAAAAUUUAAAUUUUUCAGAAGAUAAAAUGCUAUUUUGGUCAUUUUAGUUUUUGAGUGCUAUUUUUGUGGUAUAAACUUAGAAAUGUGCUAUUUUGGAGAUUUGCCCU